UCAGCGUGUUUUUGCAUAAAU
ensembl:piRNA 21ur-2859 ncRNA